AUAGUUUAAACAAUCAAUAAAUUGUGGUUUAUUCACAGUAAUAAAGAUGAAAAGUUGCACUGCACUUAGUAAUAUGGAUGAAUGGUAAGGAGUGCAAAAAUCUAGACACAUGGAAAGGCUAUUUAGAUAUGGAAGCUUUAGUGGUAAUACUAUGUAGAAGACCAAGAAAAUAACAUUGAGUCAAAGUAGUGGGAAUUUUGUGGAUAAAGAGAAAAAUGUUGCUUGUGUUUGAGAAGAGGUGGGGAAGCCUUAGGUGGUAAUGGCCUUCUGCUGCUUAGGCUGGGUGGUUUUCAGAGUUAAAUAUUGUUUUGUGUAUUUUUCCUUAUCGGUGCUUUGUUCUCUUACAUUAAAAGGACUUUAAGAGAUUACUAGUACCUCAAAAAACAGUAAUAUACUUCUCACUGAAGUGAAGCCUAGUCCAGGUGUUCCUAAUCAUGUUGACUCUAGUUUUGGUGAUGCUCAAGAUUUAGGCACUCCUGCGAAAAUGCAUCAAGUUGGGCAAUGUGGAAAUAACACAAGGGAAGUGUUCGUUAGAUCCAAGUCUGGAAGCAGCAGUUUCAUUAUCAACCAAUUGUCUAUAUUAUCCGUUGACACACAACUCUAUGGGGAUAUAGGAAAUAUAGUGCAGUUGAUUUCCCAGAAAGAAAAUGAGUGUGAAGAACACUGUAACACAUACCCAAACCACCACAUAGCAUGCCAAAGACAUGAGGCUAGGGACACACAUAAAUACAGGGAACUGGUUCAGAACCAGUUGGACUGGGACUUCUCAAUAGCACAAGAAAAGAAUUGUUACUGCUGCCUGGCCUGCACCCCCUGUUUGACAGGAUAAAUGUGCAUGGUUUUCCCAUGGGCUCCUUGAAAGAUAACCAGCCCUGAGGAUAUGUUGGGACCUUCUCAGGGAAGGCUUUUUGCUAGGUAAGGCUCUUUGGCACUAGGUGGCAGUAGAUACACUGUGCUCUAGUUUGCUGCCUCUUGCUCUGGUAAAAUACUGACAAAGCCAGCUAGAGGAGGAAAGGGUUCAUUUUCAUUACAUCUUACAAGUUAGAGUCCAGAAUCAAGGAAAGCCAGGGCAGGAGCAUGAGGCAGGAACUGAGGUAAAGGCUGUACUGCGGCUUAUCCAGUUUGCUUUCCAUGGUUUAUUCAAUUUUCUUUUUUACACAGCCCAGGCCCACCUGCCUGAGUGGCAAUGCCCCACAGACAGGCCUACAGGCCCAUGUGAUGGAGGCAUAUUCCCAGCUGAGAUGUUCUCCUCCCAGGAAGCUCCAGGACCUCACCGAAAACCACAAGAGCCAACAUUCAAAUGCUUGCCUUGGUCGGACCUAUCAAUGAUGCAUUAAUUGGGUAAGUUUAAUUUUCUCCAAUAUACCUUUCUCCAUUCCAAUCUCCAAAUAAACAGAAGAGGUUAAAAAAAAAUGAGUAAGAGAUCAUAUUCUCUGAUCCACUGAACUGAAGAGAAGUUUGAGCCCUAAGAGCUACUGACAAGUUACUGGAAUGUGGGAAGUGACAGAGGGAAAUUGUAUCUAAAGGGUCGAUUUUCUAGAUUAGAUUCAGUCAUUACGGAGAACAUAACAUAUUUGUACCAGAGUACUAAUGAGAGAACAGAUCCUUGAAGUGAAACCAAAAAGAAAGAAAAGGGUGCAGCAACUGGAGAGACUUCCAAGAAGCCUAAGAAGCAAGGAGCCUCUGCUUAGUUAAGCCUGCACCCUGGGACUCAGAGAACCAAGACACCAAGAAAAUCACAGACUCACAAAGCUCACUCCUAACACUCUCGAGCUCCUGAACCAAAAGCCAAGUCACCAACCUUCAGGUCCCUUGUUAUACUAGGGAAAAAAAUUAAAUGUUUAAAACACUUAGUGGGAUCUUCUUUU
rnacentral:lncRNA from 1 species